rnacentral:rRNA from 1 species
AUUGAACGCUGGCGGCAUGCUUUACACAUGCAAGUCGAACGGCAGCGCGGGCUUCGGCCUGGCGGCGAGUGGCGAACGGGUGAGUAAUACAACGGAACGUGCCCAGUAGCGGGGGAUAGCUCGGCGAAAGCCGGAUUAAUACCGCAUACGACCUGAGGGUGAAAGCGGGGGAUCUUCGGACCUCGCGCUAUUGGAGCGGCCGAUGGCAGAUUAGCUAGUUGGUGGGGUAAAGGCCUACCAAGGCGACGAUCUGUAGCUGGUCUGAGAGGACGACCAGCCACACUGGGACUGAGACACGGCCCAGACUCCUACGGGAGGCAGCAGUGGGGAAUUUUGGACAAUGGGCGAAAGCCUGAUCCAGCAAUGCCGCGUGUGUGAUGAAGUCCUUCGGGUUGUAAAGCACUUUUGGCGGGAACGAAAAGGACUGUGCCAAUACCACGGUUCGAUGACGGUACCCGCAGAAUAAGCACCGGCUAACUACGUG